rnacentral:rRNA from 1 species
CCUUGUACACACCGCCCGUCACGCCAUGGAAGCUGGGGGGACCUGAAGCCGGUGGGCUAACCGCAAGGGGGCAGCCGUCAAAGGUCAAUUCAGUGACUGGGCG